GAUGAACGCUGGCGGCGUGCCUAAUACAUGCAAGUCGAGCGAACAGACGAGGAGCUUGCUCCUCUGACGUUAGCGGCGGACGGGUGAGUAACACGUGGAUAACCUACCUAUAAGACUGGGAUAACUUCGUGAAACCGGAGCUAAUACCGGAUCAUAUAUUGAACCGCAUGGUUCAAUAGUGAAACACGGUUUUGCUGUCACUUAUAGAUGGAUCCGCGCCGCAUUAGCUAGUUGGUAAGGUAACGGCUUACCAAGGCAACGAUGCGUAGCCGACCUGAGAGGGUGAUCGGCCACACUGGAACUGAGACACGGUCCAGACUCCUACGGGAGGCAGCAGUAGGGAAUCUUCCGCAAUGGGCGAAAGCCUGACGGAGCAAUGCCGCGUGAGUGAUGAAGGUCUUCGGAUCGUAAAGCUCUGUUAUUAGGGAAGAACAAAUGUGUAAGUAACUAUGCACGUCUUGACGGUACCUAAUCAGAAAGCCACGGCUAACUACGUG
rnacentral:rRNA from 1 species